CUAAGGAACAAUCUCUUGACUACUGUUUUUCUGCCCAAGGGGUGAUGAGAAAAAUGGAGAGUUACAAGGAGUACAUAGAACAUGACCUUUGUAAAGUGCCGCUAUCAAAUAUUGCUCAAAGGAUUAUGUCAGCUAUGCAGUCUGUUCCUUUAGAGGAAGCUCAGAAUAGCAGAGAAGGUGGACAGAGUGAGUAACUUGUUCAGUUUUUUAACUUAGUUGUGUAUUAUGUAUUUUUGAAAAUGGAAAGACGUAAGGGAAAAUUACCUUUCUAAACACUCACUUUUGCAUCUUGAGGGGUAAAAGUACAGUUUCAAUGGUUUUACACAGAAAUAUCUCCAACACUAAGGCCUUAUCUAAACUACACAGUUUUUUGUCAACAAAAGCCAACUUUCAUCAACAAACCAGUGGAGGUGUACACACUGAAAUGCUCCUUCCACUGAUGUAACUCCCCUGCUACGCCAACAUAAUACAACCACCUUGACGAGAGGCAUAGAACUUUUUGGGAUGUGGUUAGUCAUACAGCAUCAGUGUAGACACUGUGCUUGCUUAUGUUGCCCUAAUUGACUUUCAGGAGUGUCCCACAAUACCCAUCCUGACUGCUUUGGUCAGCAAUUUGGACUCUUGCCCUGCAGGUACACAGGCAUGCACCCCUCCUCCGUUUAAAGGCCUGGGAAUUAUUGAAAUUCCUCUUUGUGUUUGCUCUGUGUGGUCUGUUCCCACAGCAUCUUCCCAGCUGACUAUGCCUGCUUUCCACAACAGAUGCGCUCCCGCCUGGAGUUUGCCAGAGGUGUUGGAUCUGUUAGGUCUGUGGGGAGAGGAGGCUGUGUAAUCACAGCUUUGCUCAAGCUGUAAGAGCUUUGAUAUCUAUGAGCAGAUUGCUCAUUGCAUGCAGGAGAAGGGACGCGAAAGGGAUAUGCAGCAGUGCUGUGCUAAGAUCAAGGAGCUGAGGCAGGCGUACCAGAAGGCAAGGGAAGCCAACCAUUGCUCUGGUGCAGUGCCGAAGACUUGCCACUUUGAGGAGCUGCAUGGUAUCCUUGGCUGUGAUCCACUUCCAAGAGCCCCGUGGAUACUUUGAGGGGACUGGAGGCAGCGGCCAGUGGAGUCAACCCCAUGGAUGAAGUGGUGGAUACGAAGUGGACCUGGAUGAAGAUGAGGGACAUGCAACAGGGUUGUCCGAUACGAUGGCAAGCCAGGACUGUUUUUGACUCCAGAGGGGUCUAGCUAGUCCCAGCACUCCAUCUCUGGCACACGUGAAGCAGGAGAGGGAAGCUCUGGGACCACAGUGGCACACAAGCAAGCAGCAUAUGGACCUGGUCUGGAGCCAUAUGCAUGCAAGAGAUGGACUCUUGCAUCCUGGGUUACCCUAUGGAAUGAGAUAUCAGGUUUGAUUAUCCCAGCCUGUGGAAGUGUGCCAAUAUUCAGAAUAUUUCCCUAGGCACAUGUAGUGACCCUCUUUGCAAACCGCCUAUACCCUUUGUCUCUUCUUUGCCAUUCAUUCUUCCCAACCCACCCUGCCCCAUCGAACUCACCGUAUUUGGGACUCUAACCGAGCUGUGUGCUAGCCGAGGGACAGUGAGAAAGAGGUGUAUGUGGCUUUUGUGAUUCAUGGCUGGGAGUGCAGUCACAAUGCUGUGUCUGUUCAUUGUUUCUUUGGCUUUUGCAGAUGUGCCCUUGGGUACCAAUUCCUCCACAUCAGCAGAAUGCUUCUGUCAGAUAAGGAGGCAAACCAGGAGGAGCAAGGAGAUUAUGUUUCUCAAAGUAUUGCAGUCAACAGAUACAGCAGAUAGCGAAAAGAGUGUGGACGAAGACCAUUAAUGAAAAACUCAGGCUGGAUAGCCUGGAAAGGAGACAGGGGCUGGAGUGGAUGAUAGAUGGGCAGGAGUGGAUGAUAAAGCCACUGGAGGGCCAGACAGAGAUGCUCAAGUCCCUCAUAGAGAUGCUGUCUGAGCACAUCUGUGCAUGUCUCCCUCUGCAGCCAAUAUCGAACACUGUUCCAUGACCUCCCCAAACUCCCUCAACACAUUCCUUGCAUGUUCCCGUUCCCUCACAGUACUCCUUGCACUCCACCCCCAGAGACUGGUUUCAUGAUUAAAGCUGGAGCUACACACAGCUGUGAACCUGUUCCUCAUUUCCGUAUCCCCUGUUUGUGCCUAGUCCCCCCUACCCCCCCCCAAAAAAAACUUAUUCUUUUAAUUAAAGUGUAGUUCUUGAAACAAAA